GGGAAUAUAACUCAUUGGUAGAGUGCUUACCUUGCACGUAUGAGGCCCUGGGUUUGUUUCCA
rnacentral:tRNA from 1 species